UUCCAUAAAAUAAAUGACCACAUAAUUAUCAUUAGAAACAAUUAUAUGAAAAGAAGUAAUUUUAAUGAUAAAGUAAACUGGAACUGGAAAUUAUUAAAAAUGACAUAACAAUUAAGACUAUCACAAAUGGACAUGGAAGUUAUAAUUUUAAUCAGUAUUUGUUGUCUGAUGCUGAUUUUCUGUGCUUUUAUUGUCUCCUGAAAAUAGCUGGAAUUACAUAAUUUUUACUUAUUUAAUUCAUGAAUUUCAGAUACUACUUCAGCAAUAGUUAGUUAUCUUUCAUUCUUCCUCACAUAUUUUAAUGAAUGGAAACACAAUAAAUCACGUUUUUUUCCCCACAUUAUGGACACCUAUUCAGGAGACAAGUAUAACAUUAUGAAAAUAGAAGCUAGAAAUAAAUCUGAGAUUACAAAUUACACAAAUAAAAAAAAGUGCCAUAUUAUGAAUACUUAAAUAGCAAUGAUUUUCACAGGUGUUUUGAAGUAAACUCCGUAUAUAAUUUAUUAUUAUAUUAAAGUCAAUGAUUGGAAAUGUUUUAAAUGGAAUUGUAAUAAAUACCAAGAUAUAAUCAUGUUAUACACAGCAUACUUGGAAGAUUUAGGCUACUUGGAUGUAUGCUGAAUAUUUCAUAAUUUUCAGCGAACACCUCAGCUACUUCAGUACAGAACUUUCAUAGCAUUAUGCUGAUCCAUUUUAACAAGGCUUCCUGGCUAAAUCUUUCAUUUAGGUUUGUUCAUCGUAGUUACUGCUUUCUUUAGCUUAAUAUAUUUCAGUAAUUUGACCCUAGUACUGCUUUAUGACAUGAUAAUUUGCAUUUUAAAAUCAUAUAAAUUGACUAGGGCUAGCUAAGUAUGCACCAAAACUUUUAAACCAGAUUUUUUUAAAAGGAUCACUAUAAAAUAGGCAGUACAUUAGAGAAGAAGCAGUACUAGUUGUUUUUGUACCUAAUGAACAAUAUCAUCUCACUAAUCACUUGCACUUUGAUUACAUAGAAAUUAACUGAAAAUGUUCAUAAAGAAACAGUUAUAAACCACGAGGUAAAGAAUGCAAAAAAUUUGUCUAUUUUAAUCAGGUUACAACUUUUACCUUCGCAUAACUAUUACAAAAUGUCUUCUCAAAAUGAUUAACGAGAAAAGAAAACACAAUAAACUAAAAAAGAGCUAAUGUUAACUGUAAGCAUGAAUAUUGGUAUCUGCAGGUUUAAUGAGGUUUGAUUCUUAUCCUGAAAAAGUAACCGAAUGUGUCAACUUCUAAAAACAUAAAAGCUCCAAUUACCAACUAAGCCAGAAAUUUUACUGUGUGCAAACUUUAAUCUGUACAUUUAUCAUACAAUUCAUUUAAUAAUAACAAUGUUUGAUCACCAAAAUUUUACAUAAAAAAUGUAUAAAAAGGUAACUUAUUAAUCAUGUAUGCUCAUAAUAGGAUAUUCAGACUGCUGAAUUUUUUCAUAUGCAUCUCCAAUUUGUGUAGUAUGAUAUCAAAUAUAUAUCGGACCCAUGAAAAAUUAUUAAUUUUGAAAAACUGGUAAAAUAAUAAUAUAAUUAUAAUACUAAAACUUGUAUAAUAAUAUAAUUAUAAUAACAAUAUUAAUUUUUUAAAUAGUUUUUCUUUUCCUUUAAAGGAAAAUGAUUCUUAUUAAGUUUUUUCUGAAAUGUUUGCUAUCUUUGUGAGAACUUAAGAUUUUACAAUUAAAAAAAAUACAAUAUGUUAUAUAUAAAAUAACAUAGAUUUAAAAAAAGGCAAUUAUUUUAUUACAGUACAAAAUAUUAUUUAAAGCCUCUUUUGUUAUAUAAGAAAUCUGCAUUGCUUCCACGAUGGACGACUAAAAUUGCUAAAACAAAAGUCUGAUUUUGAUUGAUGAAUUACUUUUUUUCAUCUUCUUUCGAAUUAUACAUUUAGAUACAGAGGACCGAUUUUCAGCUUUACUUGCUUCCAAAAAUUUUAAAUGAUGCGUUUAUACAAAAAACUUUCAUCUAGUUUUAACAAAUACUCAAUAGCCAAAAAUGUGACUUCAUUAUGUUUAGCCAAAAAUUAUUAGGUUCCUUUCAUAGCUGCCAGUUUAAUUUGAAUUAAAAUUAUAGGACAUUCAUUCAUAAAAUCAUUACACAAUUUUAAACGUUACUAUUAUUUAAUUACAACAAAACCAUAACAUGUUAUCUAUAUCAUCUGAAUUGAUAAUGAAUAUGAUGCUAUAUUAAAAAUAGAUUACUGGAAAUUUAAAUAUGAUCUGAUGUAUUUAUUUAGAGAAAUUAAAUGUGAAAUAGCUUUUGUAAUUCUCCCCUCCAAAAAAAACCUUAUUUUUAAAAUUUAGGUAGUUUUCUGCAACAAAUAAUUUCAAUACUUUAUAAAUUUUAAACUACAAAGGGAAAUUUUAUUUUAGAUUUAUAACAGUGUUUCCCAUACUGUCUUGAAAAUAAGACUAUUAAAAAAGUAAUUUUCACCAACUUCAAAAGAAGUAAAGCAUACUACUAGCAAGUAAUAUAUGGUAUGGUUUAAAACUUCGCAUU